UACACUUUCGGAGGCAGCCAGAGCCCCCAAUGCCGAGCGAGCCAUGGGCAGGCAGAUCCUUGCAGGCAGCGUUGCGUCGCGGUUAUUGGUUGUAGUGAGCGAGUGCCUGUGUGCGUUCAAGAACAUUAACCAAGUCUUCGCUAUCCUCCUCGUCGUGGCCUGCGCAUCAUAUUGGUGAGUACCAUGCACAGCUCAUCGCGGGACAGCGCGGGACAGCGCUGGAGCGCCUCUUCGAACCAGCAGAUAAGGAGAGUUCUGUUCCUAGGGCGCUAGGGUGAUAGGUUGUUAGGAUGGUAACCCUCUUCGCCUUUCAGGUACCACACUGAUGCUUUCUCUAGAUUAUUCUACAGUACUGCCCUUGUUAGCAGCUGCAGAACGAAGAAAUAAAAGCGCUAAGAGGCAUCAAAGAUUGAAGAGAUUGCAGAACAAGGGCUACAUGCUUUUUUGCGCGGCGACGGACGGAGUUGCACCGGUGACAAGGUUACGAGACCGGAGUGAAGCUUCGCUAAGUAAUGGAGUGUACAAUGCUGCCAACUCGUGAAGAAAAAUUCGAGAUAAUGAUGUUCAGGAGGUAAAAGCUGGCACUCCACGAGCUAUUCUAACGAAGAAAGUCAUGCACAAAGGUGAGGAAAGAGUGCAUCCUUCAUCUCCACAGGUGCUAACCAGCAUAUCUUUCAGGUGCUAAUCAACCUUUA